AUUGAACGCUGGCGGCAUGCCUUACACAUGCAAGUCGAACGGUAACAGGUCUUCGGAUGCUGACGAGUGGCGAACGGGUGAGUAAUACAUCGGAACGUGCCCGAUCGUGGGGGAUAACGAAGCGAAAGCUUUGCUAAUACCGCAUACGAUCUACGGAUGAAAGCAGGGGACCGCAAGGCCUUGCGCGAACGGAGCGGCCGAUGGCAGAUUAGGUAGUUGGUGGGAUAAAAGCUUACCAAGCCGACGAUCUGUAGCUGGUCUGAGAGGACGACCAGCCACACUGGGACUGAGACACGGCCCACACUCCUACGGGAGGCAGCAGUGGGGAAUUUUGGACAAUGGGCGAAAGCCUGAUCCAGCCAUGCCGCGUGCAGGAUGAAGGCCUUCGGGUUGUAAACUGCUUUUGUACGGAACGAAAAGACUCUGGUUAAUACCUGGGGUCCAUGACGGUACCGUAAGAAUAAGCACCGGCUAACUACGUGCCAGCAGCCGCGGUAAUACGUAGGGUGCAAGCGUUAAUCGGAAUUACUGGGCGUAAAGCGUGCGCAGGCGGUUAUAUAAGACAGAUGUGAAAUCCCCGGGCUCAACCUGGGAACUGCAUUUGUGACUGUAUAGCUAGAGUACGGCAGAGGGGGAUGGAAUUCCGCGUGUAGCAGUGAAAUGCGUAGAUAUGCGGAGGAACACCGAUGGCGAAGGCUAUCCCCUGGGCCUGUACUGACGCUCAUGCACGAAGGCGUGGGGAGCAAACAGGAUUAGAUACCCUGGUAGUCCACGCCCUAAACGAUGUCAACUGGUUGUUGGGUCUUCACUGACUCAGGAACGAAGCUAACGCGUGAAGCUGACCGCCUGGGGAGUACGGCCGCAAGGUUGAAACUCAAAGGAAUUGACGGCGACCCGCACAAGCGGUGGAUGAUGUGGUUUAAUUCCAUGCAACGCGAAAAACCUUACCCACCUUUGACAUGUACGGAAUCCUUUAAAGAUAGAGGAGUGCUCAACAGAGAGCCGUAUCACAUGUGCUGCAUGGCUGUCCUACACUCGCGUCUAGAGAUGUUGGGCUAAGUCCCUCAAAGAGCGCAACCCUUGCCAUUAGUCGCUCCUAAAGGGCUCUCUACUGCGACUGCCGGUGACAAACCUGACGAAGGUGGGGAUUACCUCAAGUCCUCAUGGCUCUUAUAGGUGGGGGUACACAUCUCAUACAAUGGCUGGUACAAAGGGGUGCCAUACCCACAGCGGGUAGCCUAAUCCCAAUAAAGCCAG
rnacentral:rRNA from 1 species